CCCAGCCGUUAAGAGGCCAGUGUUGAUCAGUGGCUGUCCAGGCCUUUCAGAGCCACUGACACACCAGCAGCACAAUCAUCAUGUCUCUGACUCUACUGCUGGCCACCCUGGGGCUCCUUGUUCAGGGUUCAUCAGGAGAAAUCAUCCUGACUCAGUCUCCUGGAUCUCAGUCUGUUGUUCUGGGACAGACUGUCUCUAUCAGAUGUAAAGCCAGUUCAAGUGUUAGUAGCUACCUCAACUGGUACCUUCAGAAACCUGGAGAAGCUCCUAAACUCCUGAUUAGAUAUGCUACAACCCGUCACUCUGGAGUUUCAGAUCGUUUUAGUGGAAGUGGAUCUGACCCUGACUUCACUCUGACCAUCAGCAGAGUUCAGGCUGAAGAUGCAGGAGUUUACUACUGUCAGCAGAGUUACAGCGGGUUCACACAGUGAUACAACGUCGUACAAAAACCUCCCUCAGCUGCAGAGGAACUGAUCUGACUCAACAGCUGCACUGACACUAAGACACUGGAAGCACAAAACACAAAAAUGUAGAUAAUAUGUUCCACAGUGAACAUUUUAAAACAAAAUAUACAGUUUUUAAUGUAAAAACUUAUAUUCAAUUUUUUAAAUCUUAAACCAUUUCUAUAUGAACUCAAAAAUAUUUCUUUAUUAAAAUGCAAAAUUUUACUUGAAUAAAAUCUAACUUUACUUAGUGUAAAAUAACUCAUUAUUCCACUGUGAGAUAUUGUGUGCUUUUGAUUCCAAUGAAAAAAAAAAAUUUCAUGAUUAAGAUACAAUUCAGUCUUAUUAUUUCUUUCCUUUUUUCAUCUUGUUCAUUUGUCUUUGUGGUUGAACUCUCUGGAAGAAUUCGUAUGUAAAUUUUUGCAUGAUUAGAAUUACAGCUCACACUUUAUUUAGUUACAUGUUGCUUUUUAUUUCAAAUUUAAAAAAUCAUUUUGAGACUUUUGUUGUGUUAUUUAAUGCAUGUUUCAUGCUUUUUGGUUCCUCCUAAAGGAACAACAAUGUCAGAGUUCUUGUCAUUGACACACUUCAGUAAUAAAAGAUAACUGGAUGAUUCUUCAUUGAAAUGUUUCUACCAUGGGUUUUGUUGCAAAGGGUUAUCAUUACAAAAAAUCUGCAAU